CAAAUGCUAAAACAAUAAAUAAAGUAAAAAGGUGAUUAUAUAAAGGUCGUAAAGCAAGAACCAUGUUAUAUGGUCGAGGGGUCCGUAUUUGCCCUUCUCGUAAUUUUGAAAUCUUCGUAUGAAUUAUAAGAUUGAUCACUGUUCGUUAUCUUCACCUUUUCAUUUAUCAUGGCGAAUUGCUGCACCAACCAAGAAUUAAGAAUACAGCGAAAAGACGCUGAGAAAUACCGGAGUCGUUUUUUUUUUCAUUCUCUGGGCAAAUUUGAGAAUGUAAAAAGAUCCCGAGUUUAGCAUUGAUGAUCCAUGUAUCUAUAUUAUCUAUGUUCCAAAUUCUCCCAAUUACUGUGUUUCUUACGAUGCAUUUGUCUUUAACUAAUGUCAAUUUGAUACCUAUAUUUGAAAGCAUUUAGUUUAAACUGUAUUGAUUUCAUAAAACAAGAUAUAUAUAUGUGUUUUUCUAAUGUUGAGAUCGGAAAACAAGUGCAGUUAUAUCAAUUUAUAUCUCGUUGUUAUGCAUUUACAAAUGGCGAUCACUUUUUGAGAAGAAAAGAGUAAAGACAAGAAUUGAAAAAUAGACAAAUUUUGUACUCUAGAUAUAAAUGUAAUAAACUUUGUAACAUACAUAAUAUGAAAUCAUAUCUAAGUGUCCAUAUGCAACAAGUAUUACUCUUAGCAGGUAUAAUCUUUCAGACAAAAUGGGUUGAUGAUCAAUACAAUUAUGGGUAUUUAUGUGUAUAUGUUAGCAGAAUAGACGUUAUUGCACUUGACAACAUUUUUGCGCCAUCAAUAAUUAUGUAUAGAAAAUGUAAACGUUAUCAACAUCAAAUUCUAUUUUUUAUUUUUUUUAUUUCAAUUUCAGAGUACUUGUAUGUGGAGUCAGAGUAGUGUUGAAUAGAGUAAUUUUUGGACGACUGGUCACUAGAUAUGGAUAUUUCCGUUUUCAUUUUUGUUAAAUAAGCAACUGCCUAUCAUGGCAAAAAAUCUAAUCUUCAAUUUAUCGCGAGGAAUGGUCGUGUAAAGUGUUGAAAUGUCAUACGUUUUGACGUUGUUAAUUUGCGAAAAGAAUAUCCCUCUUCCUGUCAAUCUGGUAUUCUUGCCUCUCAUCAUUAACAGUCGCCGUUAUUGCGGCGUCCUGAAUCAAAUGAAUCCUUCAAGUGGAAUAAUGUUUGUUGAUUGCUGUAGAUUUGAAAUCAAUGCCACUAUCAACUCGGAAGCCGCAAGAUGUGCAUGAUACCAACAAGAAUGUGAACUUUUCAAAGAGCAUAUUUCCAAUUUUCCACAUCUCUAGAGCAGUGACCACAAAUGUACAUACAAGUACCCACAGAUGACAGCCAUAUUGACUCCAGUGGAUAAUAUUUACCCCCAUCAGCUGGUUACUACACUGUACAUAGUUGUCAAACCAGGAUAUCCACUAAUUGCUUUCAGUGAUGUGAAUUGUCAUCUACAUUUGUGCUUAUGAACUUUAGUAAACUGUCAAGUUUUAAUAUGAAGAAAAUGACUGCUGAAAAAGCAUCUAAU